GAUGAACGCUAGCGGCAGGCUUAAUACAUGCAAGUCGUGGGGCAGCAUGAGUAGCAAUACUUGAUGGCGACCGGCAAACGGGUGAGGAACACGUACACAACCUUCCUUCAAGCGGGGAAUAGCCCAGAGAAAUUUGGAUUAAUACCCCAUAAUAUAUUUGAUAAGGCAUCUUAUUAAUAUUAAAGCUUCGGCACUUGAUGAUGGGUGUGCGGCUGAUUAGAUAGUUGGCGGGGUAACGGCCCACCAAGUCUACGAUCAGUAGCUGAUGUGAGAGCAUGAUCAGCCACACGGGCACUGAGACACGGGCCCGACUCCUACGGGAGGCAGCAGUAAGGAAUAUUGGACAAUGGACGAAAGUCUGAUCCAGCCAUGCCGCGUGAAGGAUUAAGGUCUUCUGGAUUGUAAACUUCUUUUAUAUGGGA
rnacentral:rRNA from 1 species